ensembl:snRNA U1 U1 spliceosomal RNA
AUACUCACCUGGUAGGGAGACAUCCUCAUCAAGAAGGGUGAUUUCAGGGGGUGGGGCUCAUCUCUAUCACUCUUGGUGUGCUGACCCCUUUUCCCCAGAUCCAGGAAACUUGACUGUAAAAUUUAUGGAGUGGAGGACGGUAUUUGCACUUUCUCCUG